rnacentral:rRNA from 1 species
UGAGGAAUAUUGGUCAAUGGACGAGAGUCUGAAACCAGCCAAGUAGCGUGAAGGAUGACUGCCCUAUGGGUUGUAAACUUCUUUUAUAUGGGAAUAAAAUGUUCCACGUGUGGGAUUUUGUAUGUACCAUAUGAAUAAGGAUCGGCUAACUCCGUGCC